GACGAACGCUGGCGGCGUGCUUAACACAUGCAAGUCGAACGGAAAGGCCCUGCUUUUGUGGGGUGCUCGAGUGGCGAACGGGUGAGUAACACGUGAGUAACCUGCCCUUGACUUUGGGAUAACUUCAGGAAACUGGGGCUAAUACCGGAUAGGAGCUCCUGCUGCAUGGUGGGGGUUGGAAAGUUUCGGCGGUUGGGGAUGGACUGGCGGCUUAUCAGCUUGUUGGUGGGGUAGUGGCUUACCAAGGCUUUGACGGGUAGCCGGCCUGAGAGGGUGACCGGCCACAUUGGUACUGAGAUACGGCCCAGACUCCUACGGGAGGCAGCAGUGGGGAAUAUUGCACAAUGGGCGGAAGCCUGAUGCAGCAACGCCGCGUGCGGGAUGACGGCCUUCGGGUUGUAAACCGCUUUCGCCUGUGACGAAGCGUGAGUGACGGUAAUGGGUAAAGAAGCACCGGCUAACUACGUG
rnacentral:rRNA from 1 species